rnacentral:lncRNA from 1 species
GAUUGAGGAAUAUAAAAAACUCUGUGAAUUGAAGAGAAAGGAUACUUAUCAAAAGAAGAAAGAAUUGGAUACAUUAAAACUUGAAGUGUCAAAAAUGAGAGAAACAGUUAGUACCAGGACAGUGGUAAGAAAGAAUAAACUAUGUCUCUCCAGGCCUGUCCAGGGCACCUUGAUAUAUGUAUACACUGUCUUAAAUAUAACCAGCAGCAGGUGCUUUUUUAAAGGAGCUGAUUUUAAUCCAUCUGCAUGCCAUUCUGAGAGAAUGUUUUCGGCGUGCUAAGGUUUUCUGACACUUUAUUUAAAAUGGUAUAGUGCGAUUGUGUUUUUUCUUUGGGAAUAUGGUCAGAAGAAGGAAGCUUGAAUUACCUUAGGUACAAACUGCAUUCGAUGGACCAGAAUACUGUAAAAAUGGGUUUUUAAAAUGCACACAGAACUGACCAGGUGCAUACAGAACCAUAUAUAACAUCUCCAUGAGAUUGUCUUAUUUUACAUAACAAAAUGAAUAGCCAUGGGCAAAUUCCUUAAUUCUGAAUGUGUGAUAAUAAAACAGCUUAGGCUUUUGAUUUAUAUUGGCUACAGGAGCAUUAAUGUGGAAAGGGGACUAUUCGUAUGAAGUAGAAAAUACUUCAGAGCUCUGUGCUUCUAUUUUUUAAAAUUGAUAACAUUGAUUGAAAACCAGCCCUCAUAAAUGUUUUGUGAGGAUUAUCCUUAUUUUAAAGAUAAGAAAACUGAAGCUUAUUCAGAUGGUUCUAAUGGAAGAGGGUAAUGAUAAUACCCCUUCUGUGUUAAUUAAAACAGAAAUGCCUGCUAAUCUUCUAUUGCAAUUAGUUGAAUUAACGAGUCUUUGGUGUAUUUCUUCUAUCUGUAUUGAGAAUUACAUGUAAAACUAUAUGGGGCAACAGUCAUCACAUUUCUUACCAGAAACAUCACACUUCUCAUCAGAAUACUCAGCUACUUCCCUUAUAUUUUUUAUAGAGUGGUUCUGAUCAUUCUGAUCAUCUUAGUUACAGUGUGUCUAUUAUGAUAUCCAAUUACAGAAUAUUAGUAGAAUCAAAAUUUCUCCCCAGUAUGUGUUUUUAAGAUCAUUGGGGUGCCUGGGCAGCUCAGUCAGUUAAGCCUCCAAAUCUUGAUUUUGGCAUAGGUCACGAUCCCAGGGUCGUGGGAUUGGGUCCAGGUCAUUAGGCUGCGUGCUGGGUGUGGAGGCUUCUUAGGAGUCUCUCUCCCCCCUUCUGCCUCUCCCCCACUCUUGCAUGCAGGUGCAAUAAAUAAAUCAGUAGAUAGAUAAAUAACCAUUAUCUGUUUUUCAAAUAUCUGUAUAGUAAGCAAGCAUGAAUGAGGCUAGAUUCAAAGGAGAACAGAAGGGUUAUAUCAGAUAGACUUUAUCUGCAGGCCCAAGCUCCUGCCUUUGUUUGCAUCUCAUAGGUCAUGAGUCAGGUACUCCAUCAACUCAAUUGGGAAGACACAGUAUACAUUCCUUCACCUGUGCUCCAAAGAUCUCUAAGAUCAAAUUAUGCAAGGCUAGAAGAUGGCAAGGAUAAACUCACCUCCAGCGUCAUCGCCACCUCCCAUAAGCCAACAUGCCCACCCUAACUCCACUUUACUGCAGGAGAAUAGUGUUUAAAGCACAAACUUGAGUGUCACAGAGACCUGGGGUCACAUUUUUAACUCUAUCAACCUGAAGUUUCCGCACCUAUAAAAUGGGGUGAUAAUACUGCCUACUUCAAAGGGCUAGAAGCUCAAGUGAGGUCAUGCCCAUAAGACUUUUAGCUGAGUGCUUUGUAUUUGGUAAAGGUGGUUAUUGGAGUUGUUACUCUCACCAUCCACGAUUAGAAAACAGGCUUUGGCUGUGGACUGAGGCAACAGGACAUUCCAGGUUAAUCUUCCAGGGGUGUCUUCAUUUUAGAUGACUCUGCAGCCCGGUCAAGCUGAGGUGAUGUUGCCAGAAAAGAAUAAUGGUGUGUGAUUCUUGAGGUGGCCUACAUGCCCAGGGCAGGGGGGACUGAAGACGAGUGGUGACUCCAUGCCAGGGAGCAGUGGAAUUUGAUGAACUUUCUCUCCCUUCCAUUUCUCCCUCACAGCUGUAGUGCAGACCCAAGGCUCUAAUUUGUUUGCCACCCCCUUUCUUUAUCCCAAAACUGCAUUGUUAACACAUGUGCCACUUGGAGUUUUCUCUAUUCAUACUUCAUUCUUUUAUUUAUUUAUUUUUUUAUAAAUUUUUUUUUCAACGUUUAUUUAUUUUUGGGACAGAGAGAGACAGAGCAUGAACGGGGGAGGGGCAGAGAGAGAGGGAGACACAGAAUCGGAAACAGGCUCCAGGCUCCGAGCCAUCAGCCCAGAGCCUGACGCGGGGCUCCAACUCCGGGACCGCGAGAUCGUGACCUGGCUGAAGUCGGACGCCCAACCGACUGCGCCACCCAGGUGCCCCAAUACUUCAUUCUUUUAAAUGAUGUUAAUAUUUUACCACAGCACCCAGCUGUUACAUUUCCAAAAUACUGAUUAAUAUUAAGAAAACUUCUCUUAACCUGAGCAUAUUUGUCAGUUAAGGUAACUUGUUUUUACUUUUUUUUUUUUUUAAAUAAUACUCAUUCUAAUGUCCUGGAAUAUUUUGAAAAUGAUUAUGAAAAUACAGAUUUGUUUAGACUUAUUUUAAGAGGUAGCCAAAAUGAAUUCAUGUCUUAAAAGUUGUUUUUAUAGUUUUCAUAUUCUUGUUGCUAUAUUUGGUUGCUCUCUCUCCAAAAUUGUAGGGUUUUUUUCUGAUGAUUUCAGAAUUAUUUCCGUCCAAGUUUGUUCUAUGAAUAAAUAAUUUUAAUGAUUGCUUUUUAUCUUAGCUAAAGGUACCCCCAAUGUAAAAGUUGAAUAAGUGAUACAUGAAUAUUUAGUGAAUUGAACACUUCCAUGAAUCAUUUGGUGACAAUUGAAUACCAUAAUUUUAUUGAAUUAUCAAUAGGUUCUUAGUGAUCACAAUUUAGAGAUAGCACAACUACAAGAAUCAAUAAGGCAUUGGGAACAAGAGAUUGAAGAAAUGAAGAAAUCCUGUAAGAUCCUGGAGGAUAAAAUGUAAGUUCAAUGCUUUAUUUUUACUAAAAUGUUUCUAGAUGUUAUAUUUUUUCAUUAAAAAUUUUUUUUAAUAUUAGAUUGAGAACUAUAUUCUCUUAAUUUACUAAAAUUUGCAAUUGUCAGCUUUAUAAAACCACCUCUUCGUUUGGAAAUUAACCAGUCUUCCACAUGAUCAAGAGAAAAAAUUGAGGAGGAUACAAUCCUGUAUGAAUUGUCCCCACUUUAGUUCCUGAUUCCCUACAAACAAAUAUGCCCCCAGGGGAUGGCAUUAGUGGAACCUCCUGUAGGUUCACCUACCGUUGCUAUGAUAGUUGUGGUUCUUAGUCAAGGGGGACUUACAGAACUUAUUGAAAAAAAUACAAGGAUAUUUCAGGGCAAAACCCGUGGGACUAGAACCAUAAACUUAAGGAAAUCUGUCCAUCCCAAGGAACAGUCUCUGCUUCCUUUUGGGAACCAUGUUUCAUUCUCUAUCUACAUACUAUGUUCUCUCCUUGGGGAGCUCAUGGCUAAACAUGGCCAUUCCAAACCCUCAAAGGUUACCUGUCACAGGUCCAUCUAUCUUUAGAGAUUGGCCCACAGACUUCUCCCAGGAGAAUUCCCAGAUUUUUUUUUCCCUUCAGAAGGUGUUUGGCUCAGCUCUGACCAGGAAGAGUGGGGUCUUGUAGUACAAAUAUGGCGUCCAGGCCUUCCCCUAGAUUCUACUUGCAGUUUAAAAGACAAAUUUUGGACUUAGUAGGUUCCCCAAAAGGCAAGUAACUUCCCAUGUGUAAUCUCAUUAUAAUAUAGCUUAUUUCUAUGUAGGAGUAAAUGUUUUGUGAUUUAUAUGUUUUCUAAAACAGCGGUUGCCAACAGUACAGUGCUAUUCUACCAUCAUCAGGCCAUAAAAUAGGCAAUAAUCUUUGCACUCAGUACCAGAUUUAAAAAUUUAAAAUCUUGGGGUGCCUGGCUGGUUCAGUGAGUGGAGCCUGUGACUCUUGAUCUUGGGGUUGUGAGUUUGAGUCCAUGUUGGGCAAAGAGUUUACUUAAAAAUAAAUAAUUUUUUAAAAAGAAGUAUGAAAGCUCGAGUCAUACUACAACUAAAACUCAAAAUAAAAAAAUCUUUUUCUUUGAAAGUGAUUCAAUAGUUUUAGUUCAUGCAUAUUUUGAAGAAAAACUAGGCAAAUAAUCAUAGAGGAAGAUACAGAUCAGGUCUUCAGUUAUUUCUAGGAGUUAUGAUUUAAAAACUUGCUAUACUGAUGAAGUUUUAUUGAUAAGUAGUCUUCAUGUUAGCUAAUUUGUUUUAAAUAUACAUUCAAGAAUGAAAUGGGGAUUCAUUGAUCUUCUACUUUUAAUGGCUCAUCAUUUUUUUUUUAUCCCAGCUUUUCAAGAGUUUUCAUUCAUAUGGAAUCUCUGUGAGGAAAAGUGCAUUUGGUUAAUUUGGUGAUUGAAGAUUUCAGUUACCCCCUUUGUUACUAAUAAAACUAUACCGUUUUUCUUUACUACCAAGCAAAUUAAAAGAAAAUUCUUACGUUCUUUCUGUUUUCUCCUUUAGUUCAUUUACUCAAUUUAUGGAAGUGAGAAAAGGCACCUAAAUCUUGGUUGGUAGAUUUGAAGAGUCAAACAGUGUUGUUUUAUAAUAGCCCAUAAGAUUCUUUAAGAAUAAAUUAUACAAUAAACUAAAAUAAUUUGCACCAACUCAUCUUCCUAUUAAUCAAUAAACUUUAUUUUUCCCCCAUAAAGUCUUUAAUUUCCAAGCUUGUUACAUGUUUUGAGGUCCAAAUAUUGAGGAAAAACAAAUCACUCAAACAUGAGUUAAAAUUCUGUGUGUGGACAGUUGAGAGAACAUAAAUGCUCCACAAGUCCACAGGAAGCAUUGAUAGUUUAAACCUUAUUCAUUAUUAUUAUUGACGUCCAGCAUGAUGUGUUUGCAUAAUAAAGGCAAAUCCUGUGCCUACAUUUCUAACCGAGUAUGGUCUUUCUUCACCAUUCAGCUAGUUUUCAGCACACAGGAAGUUGGAAACUAAAUGUUGUAUAUAAAUGGUAUCCAAUUUGUGACCCUGAGUAUACACUUACCAUUGCAGUGAAGGCUAUGAAAAUUAUAGAUGCUUUUUUAGAAGGGUUGAAAUGACUUCAAGAUUUUCCUGAUUACCAAUGACCUGUACUGCCAAACGUUAAUGAUUUAGCCUAUUCCUUAAAGUUCUUGAAUUCUUAAUGGAAUUUGACACAUUUCCACCUUCUUGAAAUACUUUCUUCCCUUGGCCUCCCAAACAUCAUAUUUUCUUUUAAAAAAAUUUUUUUUAACGUUUAUUUAUUUUUGGGACAGAGAGAGACAGAGCAUGAACGGGGGAGGGGCAGAGAGAGAGGGAGACACAGAACCGGAAACAGGCUCCAGGCUCUGAGCCAUCAGCCCAGAGCCCGACGCGGGGCUCGAACUCACGGACCGCGAGAUCGUGACCUGAGCCAAAGUCGGACGCUCAACCGACUGAUCCACCCAGGCGCCCCAACAUCAUAUUUUCUUAUGUCACUCACUAAACUGCCCCUUUUUAGGGCCCUUUAUUUGUUCCAGUUCUUCUCUCUGGCUCUAAAUUUUGGAGUUCUCAGCCCUUCUCUAUUCAUACUCUCCAUACAUGAUUUGAUCCAGUCUUAUGGUGUUAUAUACCUUCUGUACCCCAAUGACUCCCAAAUUAAAUAUCCAGCACAGAGUUCUAAAUGCAUAUUUGACCUCUCCAGCAUAUUUGACCUGUCCGUUUGAAGGAUAUCUGUUAGAUAUCUCAAAUACAACACGUCCUAAACGGAACUCUUAAUUUCCCACCUCCUUGAAACAGCUCUUCCGUCAGUCUUCCGUAUCGCCAUUUACCUAGUUAAUCUAGCCAAAAACCUAGGAAUCAUGCAUCAAUCCUGUUUUCCUCACUACCUAACCCUAACCCAACCUCCAGCCAAAUCCAAAGGCAGAUCCAACUAUUUCUCACUACUUUCACCACUUCAACUUUAGUCUGAACCACCGUUUUCUCUUCUUGACCACUGCUGUAGCCUUCUACAUAGUCUGUCUUCCUGUAUUGUUGUCUUUCUCCACUAAGUAGCCACAGUCAUCUUUACAAGAUGUAAAUCAGUUCAUGUCUCUCCUCUGCUUAAAUUCUCCCCUGGUUCCCUUCACAAUGAUAUCUGAACUUCUCCUCUGUCCUUGAGACCCUACGUGAUCUAGUCUCUGUCUGCCUCUCCAACUUUCUCAUAAUUGUCUCUUCACCAAAUACCCAAAACUUGUUCUUGACUCAAGAUAUUAUCACUGACUGUUCCUUCUACAUGAAAAGCUCUUUCUUCAGGUCUUCACCUAUCUGGCUCCUUUUCAUCAUUCAGGUCUUUCACAGAUCAUCUCAAGAAGCCUUCCAUUACCACCUAUCUACAAUAAUACCCUCACUCUCAGGAUUUCUCUGUCCUUCACCCUACUUUGUGUUCUUUAAAGCACUUAACACUAUCUGAAAUAAUAAUAAUAAUUGUUAUUGUUAUUUUGAUAACUUGCUUAUAUUCUACUUCACUAGAGUGUAAUUUCCAUGAGGGCAGGGACUUCACCUGUGCUGUAUCUCUAGUACCUAUAAUACCUGCAGAGGACAAGUGUUUAAUAAUUACUUCUUAAUAAAUGAAGUAUUAAUUCAUCAAACAAGUAAAAAAAUUUUUGCUUAGUUUUGUGAAUAUACCCAUAAAUAUGUUGUAUAGGAAGAUGGGGACUGGAAGUUUCUGGAGUCAUAAAUAAAUGUGGCUUUACUGGAAAACAUGCCCUAAUAUGAAUCUGUUUGGCUUCCUUUGAUCAUAGGCAUUUUUUUAUGAAUAACAAGGAAAAACUGGAAGAUUCAUCUAGUGUUGAAAAAGAUGAAAUUUUGCAGAAGAUAAAGCAGGUAGGAAGAUGGAAAUUACGCCUUUUAGAUUAUUAUUCGUUUUUAUUUUUAGUUAAUAUUUUAAAUAUAUUUGAGAAAUGUGAAAUUUUCCAAAAGUAGAUUUUUCAUGAUAUAAUAAUGAUAAUAUAAUAAUAUAUAUUAUACUAUAUAUUGUGUAUUAUAUAUAUAAUAUAAUAUAAUAUAAUAAUCAUGAUCUUUUGCAGUAAUCGAUUUAAAGAUUUUUAUUCCCUCCCCAAAUAUUUUAAAUAUAUGAAAGAGCAAAUGUUGUCUAUGUGAAAGUGAAUCUUUGUUUGGUAACUUUUCAUGUGGUUAUGGUUAUAAUACAUUAGAAAUAUCCAGAUCAAUGGGUAUUUUUCAUCCGAAUUAUUUAGAAAAAAAUGGGACCCUCUCGCUGUUGUGUGGUACCUGUAAAGUCUAGCAACCCAUACUGUGCUUAGUAAGCAGUGAAAUAUUUGAGUCAGAUUAGCAUCCAGGAGAAUUCUCUAGACAUUUUAAAUUUUGGUUAAAAGAAAUAUCAUAAGUACUUAACUACGGGUAUAAACCAAAAUUUAUCCACAAGGUAUUCACUAAAGCAUUCCUUAUAAUAAUUGAAAAAUUAGGGGGAAGAUACAAUUAAAGUCCAACAAAAGGGCCUUGAUUAAGUAAUAGCUCAUAAGAUAUUAUUGCGUGACAAAUAGAAUAUAAAACAGUACACUGUGGAUCUCUUCUAUAAGAAUGAUUUGAACCGGUUACAUUCUUUCCAUUUGGUUAUGAGCUAACGGCAUCAGGGACGGCUUCCCUCCAGGUUAGACCUACUCUGCUUCUUUAGUUGUGAAGAUUCUGAAAGACAGAAACUAGACAAGGUUGGUAGGUUGGCUGGGUGGUCAGUUGGUUGGUUUUUAAAGUUGUCUUUCAUUUUCUGGGCAAAGGAUUUCUUUUUCCUUUCCGUUUAUUUCCUGAAGCUGCCAGGCAGGCUUCAGAUGAUAGCUCCGUAGUUUGCAGGCCCCAACUGUCUGGAAAAUCCAGGACCCCUACACUGGCAUGGCUUACUUGCUCAAAGGGCAAAUGCAAAGGGGUUUCGCUUUAAUUCAUAACCGUCAGCCAAAUUCCGUGAGUUCAAGUCAGUGACUGCUUCAAAGGGAUCAGGGCUCUGACCCAUUUACUAUUUCCACUGGACUCUUGGUGGCAGCCAAUCUUAAUUCUCAUGAGGUGUAGGAGACAAGUUCAGUGAUGAAAUUCUAUUCUAACUUUAUUUUAAUUUUUUUUAUUACAAGAUAUUACACACAGAACAGUACACACAAUAUAAAUGUACAAUCCUUAUGUACAUACAUAUCUUUUGAUGGGUAUAAUUUAUUAGUUGCAAUGAAGUACAGUUUAUCAAUCUUUUCCUUUUUGGUUUUUAUGUCCUUUGUCAUGAAGAUAUUAUUUCAUGAUCUUCUAGAAGAUUUAUUGUUUGCCCUUUCACAUUUAGGACUACAAGCCAUCUGGAAUCUGUGUGUGUGUGUGUGUGUGUGUGUGUGUGCGCGCGCGCGCGCGCGUGUGCGCAUGCUGUGAGAUGGUGGUCAAGGUUCAUAUUUUUCCAUAAGAUUAUCUAGCACCAUUUAAUGAAAAGAACAUCUUUUCCUGCACUAUACUAUAAGGGUAAGUUUGUCAUAAAUCAACGGCAGAUCAUAAAUACAUUGUAAAUAUGUGUGUAGAUCUGUGGACUCUCUAUUGUGUUCCUUUGGACUUGUCUCCCCUCACAUUAAAACCAGACUUUCGUAAUUAGCAGCUUUUAACAUAAGCCUUUAUAGUUAGCAGUAUAAAUCCUUCCACUUUGUUCUUCAAGAUUGCUUUCACUGUUCUCGGCCCUUUGAAUUUCUGUCAGUCUGUCAAGUCCUGCCAAAAAAACCUGUUUGCAUUUGGACUGGGGUUGCAUUAUAUCUAUAGAUCAGUUUGGGGAGAAUGUCACAUUCUUACAAUAUCAAGGCUUCCAAUCCAUGAAAGUGGUGUACCUCAUUUACUUUAGGUCUUCUUUGUUCCCCUUGACUUACUCACUUUCACUAUCAUAUGUCCACAUUUUCUUUUUAUUUCUCCUGCUUUGGGAUUUAUUGGGCUGCUUAGAUCUGUAAAUUGCUGUAUUUUGCAAGUUCUGCAAAAUUCUUAGCCGUUAUCUGCUCACAUAUUUCCUUCCCUUUCCUCUUUGUCUGAGACUCCAAUUGUAUAUAUAUGUAUGCACAUGUGUGUAUACAAUUAUUUGUGCUAAUAAACACAUCCUCUAUGUUUUUUUACCCUCUCUUUCGUGUUUUCUAUCUUUUGUCUCCCCCUGCUGUAUUCUGGGCAGGAUGGUCUUAUUUCAGCUGUUAAUUUUGGAUAUUGAAUUUUUUAAAUUGGUAAUUUUCAAAUCUGCAUUGUCUAUUUCAAUUCCUUGCCAUAAUUUUCAAGUAUGUCUAACAUUUCUUUGAUUAUAGUAAACACAAUAUUUGUAUAGUUCAGUAUCUAAUUCCACUCAAUAUCUGAUGUUUUUAUAGGUUUGUUUCUGUAGUCUUUUGCUUCUGCCAAUUUUUUUUCAUGCUGUCUUAUUUCCUUCUGUUCCUAGUAGAAAACUGUAUACCAGACAUUGUAUUUGGGGGGGAAAAAGUUUGUAAAAACAAUUUGAAGCUUAGGAUGAUCAUAUCUUUUCCAGGAACAGACUAAUUCACUUCCAUCAGAUGGCUGGGGUAUUACCAGUCCCAAACCACUUUUAAUGCACCCUUAGGUUCCCUGGUGAUCAAAAUUAGGCUGGGCCAUGGCUUAUUAGCUUCCAAUUUACCCUUCUCCAGAGCAUGAAGCUUUUUGAGACCACAGGUUAAAGUGGUAGAAGAUUUAUCAAACUCAAUACCUGGAUGAACUCUGUUGAUUUUUGUCCCUCUUGUCAGGUAAGAGAACUAAAAUUCCAUUUCCAAGUGGUUUCUUCCAUAUCAGUCAAUGUCCUUAGGGUAAAAGGAGUUUUCAGUGCUAGAUUUACUACUCUGGAUUUUUUUUUUUUUUUGAGAGUGAGAGAGAGAGCAGGGGAGGGGAAGAGGAACAAGGAGAGAGAACCCUAAGAAAGCUCUACACCCAUCACAGAGCCCAAUAAUGCAGGACUCGAUCCCAUGACUGUGGGAUCAUGACCCGAGCCAAAAUCAAGAUUCAGAUGCUUAACCAACUAAGCCACCCCAGUGCCCUCUAUUAUGGAUUCUUGAUUUCUUGUAGAAUUAGUCAUUAUCUUGUUAGUUCUUCAACACUUCUAAGAUAUUUUUUCAUCCAGCUAUUCUAGUAAUACUCAGCCAAAAGGUUAUUGUGAACUACUCAGCCCAUCACUUGUACUAAACAUAACUUUCUUACCUCUUUUGAAGCAAUUCAAUAGAGACAUUUUAAACACAAACUUCUUGAAUAUAAAGUUCCCUAAUAAACAUUAGUUUUGUCCUUGAAUAGAAAUAUUUAACAAGAAGCAGACCUAGUAUCUCAUCAAAGAGGUUUUGAGCAAGAGCUUCUAUGGGUGUUACAUUUUCUUUUCCCUAGUGUAAUUUAUCUUCUGGGAAAAGGACUUAUGGAUCCUGUUGAAUGAUCUCAGUUUAUUAAUCUCAAUGCUUAUUUCAAUAUGAAUGAUUUACUCUGUGGUUUUUGCAUCAGUGUCUACUACCUUUCUAUACUUUUGUCAUAAUUUAUAGGAGAGGCCCCAAAAUGUAUAACUGCAUAUUUGAUACAGAAUUAAAUCACUCAACAUUUAUGGCAUAAUUAUUGUAUGCUAAGUAACAUACCCAGUGCUCUAGAGUUGCCACAUGACUGACUCCCAUCAAAGGAAAUGUGUCCUCUAAUUGCUUUUUUUUUCCCUAGAUGGCUGAAAAACUACACAAAAAUCAUUUAGAAAGCAAAGAUCUACAGGAGAAAUUGCAUACUCUUACCAGACAAUAUAAGAUUGUCUUAAGUGAGGAGGAGAAAGUUUUUAUACAGAAACAGAACACUUAUAAUGAGUAUGUUUCUAUCCAUGAUCUGUACAUGAAUCAACAUGUUAUGGUUAUGGGGUGCUUUCCUUGGGAUCAAAAUGGUGACUCUCUAAAGAAUGAAAUAUGGCCCUUUGUAGCAACAUGGAUGGAACUGGAGAGUGUGAUGCUAAGUGAAAUAAGCCAUACAGAGAAAGACAGAUACCAUAUGUUUUCACUCUUAUGUGGAUCCUGAGAAACUUAACAGAAACCCAUGGGGGAGGGGAAGAAAAAAAAAAAGAGGUUAGAGUGGGAGAGAGCCAAAGCAUAAGAGACUCUUAAAAACUGAGAACAGGGGCGCCUGGGUGGCGCAGUCGGUUAGGCGUCCGACUUCAGCCAGGUCAUGAUCUCGCGGUCCGUGAGUUCGAGCCCCGCGUCGGGCUCUGGGCUGAUGGCUCAGAGCCUGGAGCCUGUUUCCGAUUCUGUGUCUCCCUCUCUCUCUGCCCCUCCCCCGUUCAUGCUCUGUCUCUCUCUGUCCCAAAAAUAAAUAAACGUUGAAAAAAAAAAUUAAAAAAAAAAAACUGAGAACAGAGGGUUGUUGGGGGGUGGGAGGGAGGGGAGGGUGGGUGAUGGGUAUUGAGGAGGGCACCUUUUGGGAUGAGCACUGGGUGUUGUAUGGAAACCAAUUUGACAAUAAAUUUCAUAUAUUAAAAAAAACAUUGUAAAAAAUUUACAGUAAAAAAAAAUGGUGACUCUCUACUUAAGUUCAUCCUAGUUUUAAAAUCUAUUGACAACGAUGAAAUAUUUACCUAAAAAUAAACACACUCCUCAUCUGCCUGUAUAUGCACUGAGUAAUGCUUUCCUCAUGUGGGUUAGAUCAAAUCCAUAAACACCAUGGGCAUUAUAUUUACUUCUACAUCAGAUUCUUGAAAAAAUAAUCCUGCUUUUACUCCAUGAGACUGUUUAGAGAAACUGUGAGAUCUACCUUCAUCAGAAACUGGCUCUGCCAUCUCUUCCCUAACUCUGUGAAGGGUUUGGUCAUUGACACAAUCCCCUAACCCAGAGACUGGGAAAUUAUUCAAGGAAAUUCCUAUCUUUUACUACCCGUUGGACUCCAUUCAAGCACCAACGCUUGUCAAUUCCACCUCCCGGAUAUCUCUCAAAUAUAUCCCAUUCUUCUCUCCAACUCCAUUCUUGUCACCUCUUUCAGCUUCUUUGCACUGGCUUGUCCCUCCAAAGUUCUCCCCACUUUCUGCUUUACCACCCUUAAGUUGUUCACCUUCCUUCCACCGGGAUGAUCCUUCUGAAACAUCCCUCUGAUGCCAUUCCUUUUCAUCAGUCACUGCAUUGUCAUAAGUAGUCUAUAAAUCUCUUGUUUCCACUGAACUAUGAACAGAUCAGGGUAUUUACUCAGUGCUACAUCCCCAGGACCUUGUACAUUGCUUAGCAGAUAGUGGGCAUUCACCAAUAUUUUCUUAACAAAUACAGAAUAACAUCUUGCAAGCAUGAAUUCUAUAAGUAAUGAUCCAUUACGACAGACAAAGUUAGAUCACACAGAAGUGUAAUUACAGCGUCCAGGCACACUGAGGUGAAACUGAGUUUAUGGUCAUUGCAGCAUGUGAGCUGCAAAGAGUAGUUACAAUCAUUGUAUCUCAUUCAACUGAAAAACCUACCAAGAGUCUGCUUUCAGUAGCUUUUUUCAGCAAAAAAAAAUUUCCCCAGAUCAGUACUGAGUUAAUCAGUACUCAUCUACAGGUAAAGUUUCCUUCAAGGUUACACUGCUAGAAAGAGGUAAAGCCAGUAUUUAAAGUUGGUCUAACUGACCCCUUCACCUUUCAUAAAAUAACAUGGUAGAAUUGAUAAUGUGCUGAUGACAAAUCAUUGUAACACUAAAACAUUUACUAUUGUUAUUGGUUUUUGUCUUCAGCUUGGGCUGCCAUGACUAAGCACCAUAGACUGGGUGGUUUAAACAACGGAAAUUUAUUUCUCACAGUUCCAGAGGAUGGAGAUCCAAUAUCAGGGUGCCAGCAUGGUUGGGUUCUGGUGAGAGCCCUUUUUCCUGGCUUGCACAAGGCUGCCUUCUUGCUGUGUUUUUACAUGGUAGAAAUAGGGAGAAAACAAACUUCCUGGUGUCUCUUCUUACAAGGAGCCUCUUCGCCAUGACCUCAUCUAAUCAGGUGACCUCAUCACUUCACAAAAGCCUCACCUUCCAAUACCAUCACAUUGGGUGUUAGGGCUUCAACACACAAAUUUUAGGGACUGAACACAGUUCAGUCCAUAGAAGUUUUGAAGAAGACGAGACGCUUAUUUAAAGCACUUUCUGUUACAGGAAUGCCCCUAUCAAUGUCUGGAAAAAACUGAAAUUGAACAAAACUGUAUACUUCCUAUUAUUCUCUCUGCAAAUUGGAGACAAAAGAUAACCACUUUUUACAAAGUGCUUCAUGAGUCCCACACACUGGAGUGAGCACUUUAUAGCUCAUUUAAUCCUUAUAGCUGUUGAGAUAGGUAUUAUGAUCCCUAUUUUAUGGAUGGAGAUACUGAGGCUCAUCUCCAGGUGAAGUUUCCUUCAGGGUCACACUGCUAGAAAGAGGCAAAGCCAGUAUUUAAAGUUGGUCUAACUGACCCCUUCACCUUUCACAAAAGAACAUGGUAGAAUUGAUAAAUGUAUUAAAAGAGACACCCCUGCUCAGAGGGACAGAGUGCUAGGGACAGAACUGUUCUUGUGGUUUUAUGGUGACUACAGCAGUUCAUGCUCUCUCCAUGGCUUAGGAAUUUUCAUGAGUUUAGAUUUCACCACCACUAGCAAAAAGACUUUGUUUCUAUUUUCCUAAUUUGUUCAGUAAAUAGUUGAUGAACCAAACUUGGCAGCCUACAUUCUACAUUCUUAUUUGUGAUUGCAAUGUCCCCUCAUGCUGAAGAGUUAAAAAAGAUGAUUUCACCUUUCAACAUAUGCUAACUCUGGUUUUUUCAUGGCAGGAAUCAGAAACAAAUGGCAUUUAUUAGUCGGAAAGAAAACUUCCUAUCGCAAAGAAAAGUAGACAUCAAAAAUAUGGAGGAAGGACUUGUCACACUCCAGGAACUUCAUCAGUAUGUUUGUUGCCCUUGAAACAUUUAAUCAUUCUUUUCUGCAUUUGUUUUAAUAUAUGGUAACCAUAGAUCUAUCAGUUUCUGAUAUCCUAUAGAAAAGGAGGUUUAUAAUUCACUGUCUCUGUUUUACAGUAUAGAAGGGUCAUUAUCAUUGAAUCUACUGUUGAAAGGGUAGACAGGUCCUGAGUUCUGGGCAAGCUGCUGGACAUGAGAAAUGGACCCAUCAGGAGUCUAGGAACAAGAAUGUGCCUGAACAUUAUCACAACACUGACCCCCUAUGGUGUUCAUUUCUGCCAUUCUAAAUCACUUUAAUUUUUAAUUUUAGUUUUUCUGAUUAAAAUAAGUAAUGCCUGGGGCGCCUGGGUGGCGCAGUCGGUUAAGCGUCCGACUUCAGCCAGGUCACGAUCUCGCGGUCCGUGAGUUCGAGCCCCGCGUCAGGCUCUGGGCUGAUGGCUCAGAGCCUGGAGCCUGCUUCCGAUUCUGUGUCUCCCUCUCUCUCUGCCCCUCCCCCGUUCAUGCUCUGUCUCUCUCUGUCCCAAAAAUAAAUAAACGUUGAAAAAAAAAAUUUAAAAUAAGUAAUGCCUGAUGUGAUUUUAAAAUUCAAAUGUAGAAAUGUAGAAAAGUAGCUUUGGGGCGCCUGGGUGGCUCAGUCGGUUAGGCGUCCGACUUCAGCUCAGGUCAUGAUCUCGCGGUCCGUGAGUUCAAGCCCCUCAUCGGGCUCUGGGCUGAUGGCUCAGAGCCUGGAGCCUGNNNNNNNNNNNNNNNNNNNNNNNNNNNNNNNNNNNNNNNNUUCCGAUUCUGUGUCUCCCUCUCUCUCUGCCCCUCCCCUGUUCAUGCUCUGUCUCUCUCUCUCUCUCUGUCUCAAAAAUAAAUAAACGUUAAAAAAAAUUAAAAAAAAAAGUGUGGCUCAGAAGCAUAAAAGUGACCCUAAUCUCUGUCUCCCCACAGAGAUCUCACUGUUAACAGUUUGCUAUGCAUGCUUUCUAUAAUAGGAGUGUGUACAUACACCCAAAAAUAGGAUUGUACUUUUCUAGAACUGUAAUUUAUCUACUUAAAAUUGUAUCUGGGUAACUUACACAAUAUUAUAUUUCAACAUAUCUCCAUAAAAAGCUGGAAAAAUAUAUCUGGGAAAAUGAUAAAGCAAGUGUGAUAAAAGGUAACACUUGGAGAAAUUGGUGAAAGGUAUAUGGGAAUUCUUUGUAUUAAUUUUUACACUUAUCUGUUGAUUUUAAAACUAUUUCAGAAGGCGGCAAAAUUCAUAUAUAUGGGACCUCAUUCUUCAGUCUUUCUUUAGCUGCUUAAUAUUCCUUUCACUGAAUAUACUAUGUUUUAUGUAACCAGCACCCUACUGAUGCUUUGGCUUUUGUGUUUUCUCUACUAUAAGCAUUUUUCAAAUUAACCUCCUUUACCAUAUAUCCACAUAUACAACUAUUUCUUUAUAAUAACGUCCUAAAAGUUGAAUUACGAGAUUAUAGGGGGUUGCAUAUUUUUUAUUUUUAUAAUUUGAAUAUAUUUUAUGACUUGAGUGUAGGGCAGUGGAGAAACUAACUUACAGAACUAAGACAAGUGGAGAUGAAAUUUGACUCCUGCCAACAGAAAUCUAGAACACAGCAGGAUGUGCAGGUUGCUUGUCCUUACACUGUUGAACAACAUAUUUAAACAUCUGUUUCUCAUGUUGGUUUCAGAAAGGAAACUAUGAACCCUUCCCUGUGAAAGAGUGGGAAAAUAGAAUCGGGUUGAGUUAGGGGUUUUGUUUUCCACAUGAAUAACGCAGAUUCAAUCAACUAUUGUGCCAUCAUGGUUCCCAUCACCAGGAAGCUCAGAGCCAAAUUUGUGACCCAAUACUGGUUUUCAUUUAGUACUUUUAAUGUUGUUGUUAUUUCACUCUAGUUCAACUACUUUGUGGAUUAAACUAAAUACAUAAAUAAAAUCAAUGAGAUUGGGCACAUUGCGAAGAAUCUUAGAGUUCCAGGGAAGGGUGAAGUGGAAAAGAAAAAUAAAAAAAGGAAAAAAAUAGUUACAAACAGAGAGGGAGGGAGGCAAACCCACAAGAGACUCUUAAAUACAGAGAACAAACUAAGGGUGGAUGGAGAGGUGGAGAGGGAGGGGAAAAUGGGUGAUGGGCAUUGAGGAGGGCACUUGUUGGGAUGAGCACUGGAUGUUGUAUGUAAGUAAGCCAAUUUGACAAUAAAUCAUAUUCAUAAAAAAAAACCCACACUGUGAUUUUAGAUGGAGGAAAAAAAAACACGAACACAUUUGUGUUGCUAGUUUAACAGCAUUAUGUGUUCUGUUUUAGCUAUGAAUUAUUUCCAUUUUUCUUUUAAUUUUUUUAACGUUUUUAUUUUUGAGAGACAGAGACAGAACAUGAGUCAGGGAGGGGCAGAGAGAGAGAGGGAGACACAGAAUCUGAAGCAGGCUCCAGGCUCUGAGCUAUCAGCACAGAGCCUGACACAGGGUUCGAACUCACAAACCGUGAGAUCAUGAGCUGAGCCGAAGUCGGAUACUUAACCAACUGAGUCACCCAGACACCCCUGAAUAUUUCUAUUUUUCAAAAGAUACAAAGUCAUAUUUCACUUUCAUUUCUGCAUAUGAAGCACUUCAUAGAGAAAGAGGGAAUAAAAAUAAUAAAGGCUUCUAAUACCUAUGCUAGACUCUUCAUGUUUCUACCCAUCCUAGAUUCACAAGAAACCCUUCCGUCCUUAAUUACUACUUACCCCUAGUACAAAACUCUUUAUUGGCUUUCUGAAUUAUACAUUGCAUCAAACCAGGACUCAGUCAGGAAUUCAAAGUUCCUCACCAGUUUGUUGACCUUCACCCCUCCUAUGUCACUGUGUUGCUUCCUUUCGUGUCCUCUGUCUGUGGCAAGUCUAUGUUGGUCAUAACUCUUGACUUGUUACCUUGUGUGUACCUUUUCCACGUCUUUGUGAAUGAUGACGUCCUUCCCAUGGUGAUAUUGCACCUUCAUUCCGGCAAUCUGUGUUCUUCCCUCUGUCAAACAUUAACCUCCGAUGUCCCUUCCUCAGCUGCCUCCCCAGAAUCUAUUCUUCCUUUCCCUUAGGUCUACCACAAUUCUGCAAAAUCAGUUUGCACUUGCACAAAACCGUAAUUGUCCUUCUACGAGUCUACGACUACCUUUCGUUGUUACACGAGGUUUGGUUUAUCUCCCAAUUAGAUGGUAGUCUUACUGUACAUAAGAAUUAUACAUAAAGUCUUUUGUGUAGUCUACUAGCUUCCACAAAUGCAAAACCCAGCGUAUGUCUUCCUGUUUUUAGAGCAACAAAGGAAGUAUAUCGGAGACAAAUAAAAAUCCUGAAUGACAACCGGGAAAGAGAAAGU